rnacentral:lncRNA from 1 species
AAUAUCCGUUUUACUAGAAAUAUCCCUUUAAUGACUGAAAUAUCCGUUUUACUAGAAAUAUCCCUUUAAUGACUGAAAUAUCCGUUUUACUAGAAAUAUCUUUUCCCUUUUUGUCUUUACUAGAAAUAUCAUAAUUGAAUCUUAAAAUUUUUUACCUUUUUCAUUCAGAUAAAUAUUGAUUACAUCAUCCAACAAAAAAUUUGACUGUAGGUAUACUGAAGCUGUAUUUGCAUUUUGUUAAAGCAAGACAAAACCUACCUUUCAGGUCUAAUCUCAAUAAUUGUCUGAUUGUUUUUGGAUCACUGUUAUAACAAUUUAUCUUUCAGUCUUUUGGUAAGUCCAUCAUGGGUGUUGGGCAGCCUGUGGACUACUCUAAAAGUGGCCACCAACAAAUUAUAUUGUCUGAUUUAGUGGCUCAAUUCACAUUAACCUAACUGAUAAAUUCAUUUCUGUUGUCUAAAAUUAAAUUUUUAUUUCCUAUUAAUAAUAACUAGCCAGUGUGUCCAAUAUUAUAAUGGAGUAAAAAUUGUCAAAUAAACUAUAUUAUGUUCCUGAAAUUCCCAAGCAAUGCCAGAUACCCUUGCUAGUAUAAAAAGCAGUCAGUAAAAACAUGUGAAAGGCUAUUGUGGAAAAAUUAAGGUGCAGUAAUGCUGGUUGUCAGGAAAAUAGUUGCAGCCAUAAAAAAAUGAUGCACAUGUAUGUGCCACUAGUGGGAGCAGGCGUCACAUUAUGCAAUUGCAAAAGCGGAAUACCACCAUAUGAACCAUCCCAAGAAGUUGUUGCAUGCAAGAAUUGAAAAAUGGAUGAAUCAGAGGAGGAAUACUGAACUGUUCUGUAUUUUUUGAUGGCAGAAGGUACAGGAGUAUUGAAAUCCAUAGAAGAAUGACAGAUGUUGUAUGGAAAACAUUGCAUGUCAUUUCAAAUGAAGAAGUAGCAUAAGUGAUUUUGUGGAGGAUGCAUAUUUGGUGGCAGACCAUAAGCAAUUUGGAGCAUUAAAGUGCAUUACACAGAUGUCAUUAUUGCAAAAAUGGAUAAAUGUAUUCAUGAAGAUCAGUGUGUUUAUAGUAGACCAAAUCGCUGAAGAAAUCUGCACGAGCUAUAGAACUGUCCACAUUAUCGUCACAGACAGGUUGAAGUUACUUAAAGUCUCUGUGUGUGCACAAUGGUGCCUCACUAUUUUGAAACUGUUACAAGAGGCAUUUUGUAUUGCAAUGCUUCUGCAAUUCCUGCAGUGACAUGCUUAUGAAGGAGAGGAUUUCUUUUCAUGAAUUGUCACUGGGAAUGAGAUUUGAUACCAUCAUUUUGAAUUGAAAUCAAAAUGCUAAAAUAUGCAGUGAAACAUGCAGGAUCCCCUCAGCCAAAAAAUGCAGUGCUAUGCUCAAUAGAAACAACUAAACAAUCAGCACUUUGGCAGGAAGAAGGUGUUGUUUCGCUUGGGUUCUUUACAAGAGGUGGUGCUUUCGAUUUUUAACGGGUCAUCGUCGGCUUCAUGGAGUGAGCAUGCAGCAAGUGGAGUGAGGAACAGUUUUUUAGAUUCGCAGUGGCCAUGACGACAAUUGAAAUGCU